AGCCUUGGUGAUCCACCCACCCCUGGCCUCCCAAAGUGCUGGGAUUAUAGAUGUGAGCCACCGCCCCCAGCCAACUAAGAAGGCUUUUGAUGAAGUAGUAGAAAACAUUGACUUAAGCAAUAAAAAGUUUUUGUUAUCAUGGCUUUAAAGUCUAGGCAUAGAGCACUGUGUAAUCUCACAGUUCCGUGAUUUGUCUCGUGGUCAAAGAUGGCUGCCAACAGCUCCCAGGAAGAGAAGGUCUUCUCUCAUAAGCAAUGAACCAGAUUUAGGGCUUGGCCAGUUGGACCACCCCUGAACCAAUUCCUGUGGUCAAGGGAAUGCUACAUGCUGAUUGGCUUGGGAUUCAGAUACAAGACCAGUAACUAUGGUGCAGGCAGGGAGGGUGUGAGAUUAAGCUGAUUGGCUUAGAGCAGUCAGGUCCUAUCCCUGGAGCAGAAGUGGUCUCACCCAAACUUCAAGGUCAAAGGGGGAAAGGGUAUGGGAGAGAGAGAGGCACAAUUUCAGCCACAUGCAAAUGGGGCUCUCAAGUCCAGUGAAAUCAAAGUGUGUAAUGGCAUCUUUUCAUGGUCUGUUUGAAAUGAGGAUGGCAUGCACUGUCAUGGUGUAAUUAAUAAUUGAUAUUGACCCAGCACUGGACAAUACAAAACGUAUCCCUGAUAACUACCCCCUCCCUUGCAUCCCUACAGAGAAUAUGUGCACAGAAGACACAAAUCAAGGCAGUUAACAUUCGAUCCUCAGUCCUUGGCUGGGCUUUGGCUCCACGCCCAAGCAUGACUGCAUUGGAACUGGCUAUGUCCUUCAGAAACGUCCUUUACCUGAAUAGGCCCAAACAGCUCAGAACCAAAGCCAGCCAAAAUGCCCACACUCCCUGCCUCCCCAAGCCCAAACCUGAUUCCUUGGAGGCAGGGAGGAAAGGACAGAUUCCAGAAAUGAGAACCAACAGGAAGCCUUUGCCCUGGGGCUCACCCCAGCCUUCUCAGGCCUGGACAUAAGCCCCCAGCAGCUCACGGACCCCUGGAAGAAGAGAGCAUUUGCAAAGACAGCCAAACAAAACAGGAAAAGGGCCAUGCAUCCUCAGUCUUGGAUGCAGCGUAGUAGACGUUUAAUACCCUUCAUGGGAACUCUGCCUCCAGGAGCAAGUGACCCAAGCAAAAUUUGGGGGAUAAGGGGCAGCUGUAGAGGGUAGAAUGGGGGUGGGUGAUUGGCAGUGGCGGACCAGGGAAGUUGGUAAGGAAUUCUUUGCUCUGACCCACCUAUGAAGGCAUAAUAGAGGGAAGCAGGAGGCAGAUCUUGGGCUCCCCCUAGAGGCGUCUGUGCACUCAUUCACCAAACACCGCGCCCCUAUGCGCACUGGACACUGCCAGGUGCUGGAGGUGCAGCGCUGAGCAAGGGAUAAGGCCCCUGUCUUGUGGAGUGCGAGCUUCUCGCUAGAGGAAGCAAACAUGAAACACGCUGAGACUGAGACCAAAGGAAGUUCCAGGGUGCUGUGUAGAGCCAGCUCUCCAACGGAUCUGAGCUUCCUGCUGCUGCCUUUAAACUGGGAGCAUGGGAAGAGCCAGCUGGGACUCAGAGCUCCGCCAGUGGCCAUCCCAGCCACUAAGGCUAAGCUUUUAAGUCACAGAAUGGUAAGCCUGGAAAAGACCCUGGAGAUCCCCAAAUCCCAUUUGUUCAUUUCACAGAUGAGGAAUCUAAAGCCCAGAAAGAGGAAAAGGCAUCAUCCGUAUGAAGCUAGCUGGUGUUUAUGGAGCAUCUGGGGGCUCCUGAUGCUUGGGUAGAAGUAAGACACCCCCCUCCUACCACAAUGAGGGGUUUCCCCACCAGCCCCUAGGCCCCAGAGCACCUAGGGUCUCCCAGGACUACAAGCAACCCUCCUGCAGCUCAAUUCUUCCCACACCCUCACCCCACAGAAAGGGCUUGGAAGCUGUGGGCCCUUCAUGUGGGGCUGAAGUCUUAAGACCUGGAGAGCAGCCCCAAGGGUGGAGAAGCGGCUGCUGAAGGGAUCAGCAUGCGCUAGCACAGGAAGUCUGUUUUCCAUGUGUCUGGAACCCAGCCGAAGCUUCCUGAGCAAGACUGUGUUGGGCUGGAGGAAAGGCAGUAAUCAACUCCGUGUUCCACAUGAGGAAACUGAAGAUCAUGGAAGGCAAGUUGAGAGCCCCAAGGUUAUCCAGCUUCAAGGUCACCAGUCACCCAGCUUCCUUCUUUCAUGCAGCCAGAUGCCCACCCCAAUACUAGGUUAUGCUGUGGGGAUCGUGAAGUAGCCUAAGGCCUCCCUCUGCCUGCCCCACCCCCACUGUGUUUAUAUUGUUGGGAAACUUAAUCCAUGGAAAUAAAAUGUGGAUUAUUUUUAUUGA